AUUUGUCUGGUUAAUUCCGAUAACGAACGAGACCUUAACCUGCUAACUAGAUCCAAUUAUCCGAUUUUUGCGAUCUUCUUAGAGGGACUAUGUAAUAAAAAUACAUGGAAGUUUGAGGCAAUAACAGGUCAGUGAUGCCCUUAUAUGUCCUGGGCUGCACGCGUGCUACACUGAUGCAUACAACAAGUGCCUAACCAGACAUGGUAUGGUAAUCUCUAAUAUGCAUCGUGAUGGGGAUAGAUCUUUGCAAUUAUAGAUCUUGAACGAGGAAUUCCUAGUAAGUGCAAGUCAUCAUCUUGCAUUGAUUAUGUCCCUGCCCUUUGUACACACCGCCCGUCGCUCCUACCGAUACCGGGUGAUCCGGUGAACCUUUUGGACCUGUAUGGGGAAGAUAAGUAAACCAUAUCACCUAGAGGAAGGAGAAGUCGUAACAAGGUUUCCGUAGGUGAACCUGCRGAAGGAUCA
rnacentral:rRNA from 1 species